rnacentral:rRNA from 1 species
CUGUUAGAGCAAUCGAAGCAGUGAACUUAAGCCCCAGUAAACGGCGGCCGUAACUAUAACGGUCCUAAGGUAGCGAAAUUCCUUGUCGGGUAAGUUCCGACCCGCACGAAAGGCGUAACGAUUUGGGCACUGUCUCAACAACAGACUCGGUGAAAUUGUAAUUCAGGUGCAGAUGCCGGAUACCUGCGACAGGACGGAAAGACCCCAUGGAGCUUUACUGUAGCUUGACAUUGGGUCUUGGUACUACAUGUACAGGAUAGGUGGGAGGCGUUGAAACCAGGACGCCAGUUUUGGAGGAGCCAUCCUUGGGAUACCACCCUUGUAGUACUGGGACUCUAACCAUAGGCCAUGAAUCUGUUCUUGGGACACUGUCAGGUGGGCAGUUUGACUGGGGCGGUCGCCUCCCAAAAGG